rnacentral:snoRNA from 2 species
CCCCUCUCAGGAUGGCACCUGGAGCGUUUCCAGUACUCUACCAGUCUCAGCUAUGGGAGGGAGAGUCAAGCAGAGGCAUAUCCAUUCCAUUCCUAGCUCCGGCAGUGGCUAGCGAGUGGAAGGCAAACUGCUACAAGU